rnacentral:lncRNA from 10 species
GCAGCAUUGCAGAAGGGAGGAGGUGGAGAUUCUGUCCUCAGUGCCUAGGGCCCUGCCUGGAUCUGGUUUUGCAGAGGGGAGGACGUAGAGAUUCUGUCCUCAGUGCCCAGGGCCCUGCCUGGAUCUGGUUUUGCAGAGGGGAGGACGUAGAGAUUCUGUCCUCAGCGCCCAGGGCCCUGCCUGGAUCUGGUUUUGCAGCUCCAGGGGAAACGUUUUGCACAAAUUCUCACUGGGAGCAUUAUCAGGGCUGCAGCACUUCAGUCUCUCCUGAUCUGAAUCCUUUUAACAUUAGCUGUGAUGCUGAGAAGGAUGAAAUUGAUGACACCAACAUCUGGUGGAAGACAAAAACCAGAGGGAUUUCCACCCAGGCAGAGCCCCUCCGCAGGCCUCCCCUCUUUGUGGCCUGAGGUCGGAGAGGCCUCUGGAGCAAGCCAGCGGAUGGAAUUCUCAGUUUUCUUCCAUUUGAUUAUUUUCCUAUUUUGACGUCUUUGAAAAAUGGCUCAGCCUUAUGGUGCAUGCGUUUUCUGAUUGCUUUUGUCUUUGUUUUAUUCUGAAUCAAGGACCGUGGCCACUGUGGGCUCCUCAUCCAGGACGUGGGGGCCCUCCGGGGCCUCAGUCCAUCCAUGCUGCAGUACAUGGUGAUUCUCAUGCAGAGGAUGAUCUCAGGGAUCAGCUUGAGCUGGCAGAGAAUUAAAUUAUAUGGUUUAUAAGAGUCCUGCCUCAGGGUCAGUGACACCAGGCCUGUCUCUGCUGCUAGCAAGGCCGACUUUCUUAUGUGCUGUCAUCGUGGUAAAAGCCUUGCCCACGUGAUGAAGACCCUGGACGGCUCUACUUGAGACAGAUUUCAGCUACGUUGCCUGGGAGUCUCUGGUACUUCUUCAAGGUUCUACUGAAGACAAUGACGUCAUCCAAGUACCUUGCAGUGCCUAAGUAGCUCUUGCCGCGGGAGCUCUGAGACCCCCUGUUAUCUAUUUUCGAAUUGGCCAAGGACCCCCGGCCAGGCAGGGGAUGCUCUGCCCAUCCUCGUCAGCCCUCGUGUCUUGUGAUCCUCCCCCAGCCUCCUGGCAAGCAUCCCUGUGCUUUCCGCGGGUGAGCGUGGCUGAGCUCAGUCUCGCUUACUACAACGGCAGGCACGAGGUCUGCGGAACUAAGAAGGCUCCUCUUUGCUCACUGGCCUUUCCUUUAAGUCCCUGGUCACUAACCUCUGGCAAGACAAUCCUUCUUGUGUUUUCUGGCGAUGGACUUGAGUGAUUACAAUGUGCCCUAGAGAGGACAGAUGCAUGGCUGUGGAGUCUUGUUCUGUGAUAUGUCAGGUAUGUGCUUGGGCGCGCGGAGGCUGCAGGAGGUGGACAGGAAUGGUCUUUCUCUUGCUCUGAGUCGCAUGUGUGGGCCAGCCCACGGGUUCUGUGGAGGAGAAUCCAGCUGCCCACCUGGCUGAGUCUAGCCCUGGGCUGGCGAUGGCCGAACCCCAGUUCCAUUCCCGGACCUUCCCUAGGCUGCUGGGUGGGUUCCCUGGCCACUGUCGCUGGGCUAAUCCAUUCUAUCUUCUCCUGGGGCGAGGCCAUUGCCGUGCUGUGCUGGUGCUGGCUCUUCAGGCAGCUCUUCAGCUCCGUGGCUCCCGGCCCAGCCCAGGCCUAACACAGGCCUGUCCCUAGUGUUCGUGCACUGAGCUUUGUGUCUAUUGCUGGUUUUUCUUUUCUUUUAAAACUUACUUCGCAGAAGGAAUUCGGCCUGAGCAGCUGAGCUUCCGUGGUAGCCUCUCCUGCUCAAAGCCGUCGUUUGCUCCCAUAUACCUGGCCUGCCAGUUUCCAUUCUCUCUUUCCCUUGUUUCAUCUUUUCUGCAGUAGGUCCUCUAGUUUCAACCACAGGUGUUUACAGUGUUGCAGUUUUAAUUUGUCGUUGUUGCAUUUAGUUUACUUGACGCACGUUCAAAACUGCAAAAUGCUGGUUCCUACCCGUCUCUGAUGUCACCAAAGGCUGCCCAGAGGCCUGCAGCACAUUGACGAUGGUCUUAGUAUUACACAGCUGUCUGACCAGUACCACAAAUCCAGAGUCCAAGCAGCUCAGGUUUGCCUUCUCCCUGUCUGUGUGGGUCCAGCGCCCUGGGCUCAGCAGGGCCUCCUGCUCCUGCUCCUGUAGGGUGGGCUGGGCCUUCCCACACGGGCCUGGGGAGGAGCCUCUCCUAGGUGCUGGCAGGGCCCUGGCCUUUACUUAUUCCCUCUGAUGCCAGCCAGCUACUGCAGCCCUGGUGGCGUCUCCCUGGGGGUGCCCGGGUGCAGGUGUCCGCUGCCGGGCCGUGGGUGUCUCAUUCUGUGUCCGGACCUCUCUGUGAUGUGAACCUUGGGCUUUUUUUUUUUUUUUUUUUUUUUUUCAGAUGUUAAGGGAGUCCACCACAUGUUUCCAUGGUAACGGCUCCUUUUCCUGGUUUACUGGAGGGUUCUGACGGUCAAGGCCUCCUGUGUAUUGACUGGGUUAUCGCCUGGGGGUUUUAUUGCUUUGUCUUUUACAUUUAGUUUUACUGUUCCUGGAACUGAAUUUGUUUGUGAUGUGAGUCAGAAAUCCUGUCACAUUUUUCCACGUGGAUAUCCAGGGCCCCCGCCGUUUGUGGGAAGGCCGCACCUUCUGCCCGCUCUGCUGUCCAUCCGCGUGCCCAUCUCCAUGGGUUUCUCUCUGCACGGCUUGUUCUGUCCUGCAUGUCCAUCCUUGAGAUCGUUUUUCUCUGGCUUAAUGAUUACAGCUGUACGUUUCAUUUUCAUGGCUGGGAUCUGCAGGACGAGCUUACAUAUAGCUGUAGCCAUUUGAAGAUUCUAAGCAAGUCCUCAACUGUUCAGCAGAGCCUCUGGUCCAGCAUGAGACCAAAACCCAGGAGCUGGUCUCGCCCUUGGCCCUCCUAACUCUCCAGCGUGUCCAGCCUGACUGGGAGAAACGUCCUGUUCAGGUGUUUGGUUGUCUAAGUGCUUCCCGCGGGGACGCCGGGCCUGAGCCUCUGUGAGAAGGGGAGAUCCCUGUGCAGUGUGGACCAACUUCUUUCCCUUUUCCAGGCUCCCAGUUUCUCCGCCUGUGCUGAGACCUUGUUUCCCAGGACCUCGGUGGACUUGGCUUUCAUGACUGGUGCCUCACCCCAGCACAUGUGCCUAAAAUAACAGAAAAAUACAGUGCCUGCAUGUUGGGAGCAAGCCCCCCAAAGUCUGGCCCCAAAACUGGCCAUAAAUAAAAUCUCUGCAGCAAUGUAACAUGUCCAUAAUGGCCAUAAAGCCCAAGCUGGAAGGUUGUGGGUUUACAGGAAUGACGGUAAGGAACACCUGGCCCGCUCAGGGCGGAAAACUGGUUAAAGGCAUUUUUAAGCCAUAAACAAUUAGCCUGAGCGAUCUGUGCCUUAAGGGCGUGUUCCUGCUGCAAUUAAUUCAGCCCAUCCCUUCGUUUCCCUUAAGGGAUACUUUCAGUUAAUUUAAUAUCCAUAGAAACAAUGCUAAUGACUGGUUUGCUGUUAAUAAAUAUGUGGGUAAAUCUCUGUUCGGGGCUCUCAGCUCUGAAGGCUGUGAGACCCCUGAUAUCCCACUUUACACCUCUGUAU